rnacentral:rRNA from 1 species
AUUGCACGCUGGCGGCAGGCCUAACACAUGCAAGUCGGGCGAGCGGCGGACGGGUGAGUAAUGUAUGGGGAUCUGCCUGAUGGCGGGGGAUAACUACUGGUAACGGUAGCUAAUACCGCAUACCCUCAGAUGAACCCAUAUGGGAUUGGCUAGUAGGUGAGGUAAAGGCUUACCUAGGCGACGAUCCCGAGCUGGUCUGAGAGGAUGAUCGGCCACACUGGGACGGAGCCACGUCGCAGAAGCGUACGGAAGGCAGCGGUGGGGAGUAUUGGACAAUGAGCGCAAGCCUGAUGCAGCCGUGCCGCGUGUAUGGAGAAGGCCUUCGGGUGGUAAAGUACUUUCAGUCGGGAGACGUGAACGACAGAAGAAGCACCGGCUGACUCCGUGCCAGCCGCCGCGGUAGUAC